AUUGAACGCUGGCGGCAGGCCUAACACAUGCAAGUCGAACGGUAACAGCAAGAAGCUUGCUUCUUUGCUGACGAGUGGCGGACGGGUGAGCAAUGUCUGGGAAACUGCCUGAUGGAGGGGGAUCACUACUGGAAACGGUACCUAAUACCGCAUAACGUCGCAAGACAAAAGAGGGGGCCCUUCGGGACCCUUGCCAUCGGAUGUGCCCAGAUGGGAUUAGCUAGUAGGUGGGGUAACGGCUCACUUAGGCGACGCUCCCUAGCUGGUCUGAGGGGGAGACUAGCUACACUGGAACUGAGACACGGUCCAGACUCCGACGGGAGGCAGCAGUGGGGAAUAUUGCACGAUGGGGGCAAGCCGGAUGCAGCCAUGCCGGGUGUAUGAAGAAGGCCUUCUGGUUGGAAAGUAAUUAAGGCGGGGAGGUAGUGAGUAUAGUUAAUACCUGAGCUCAUUGACGUUACCCGCAGAAGAAGCACCGGCUAACUCCGUG
rnacentral:rRNA from 1 species